UAACCGAUGUAGUAUAGAACCCCGUGAAACCAAAACCCUAGUCUUCUCCCUUUCCUUCCUCAACCAGCAACUUCAAAAACAAAACACAGAUCCUUUGCGGCGCCACCCACGGCUUCCAAGCUCUACAACUCUUGCAAAUCCGCCACCGCCACCUUGUAUUGCUGCCCUGACACCGCCUUCCUCUACGGUGCCUGCGACUCCAAGGUCCACACCGCUAACAAGCUCGCCUCGCGUCACCCGCACGUCAUGCUCUGCGAGGUCUGCGAGCAGGCUCUAGCGCACGUCACCUGCACGGCCGACGCUGCCGCGCUCUACCUCGCCUGCGACCGCGACAUCCACUCCACCAACCCCUUCGCCAGCCGCCACGAGCGCCUCCCGGUCGGCGGUCACUCCAUUCUUUGAGUCCGUACACUCCGUCAAUGACUCCUCGCCGAUCAACUUCCUUGACGAGCACUGCUUCUUCUCCGAUGCCGAUGCUUUCGGGUAUACGAAGAUGGGGUUUUCUGGUAAUGUUGAGCCAUGUUUUAUUGUUCCGACAGUGGUUGCACUUAAUGAGUCGUUUCUGAAUCAAUCUAGGAGCUCUUCUAAAGGCAAUUGGGUUGCCCAACACAAUGUUGGGGUUAUGGCGGAUCUUGAUUUCUUCAUUGGGGAUGACACACUUUCCAAGUCUCAAUUGGGUUUCCGAUUCGGCAUGGUCAGGUUGAGAAUUGGGAUUCCAUGGAGCACUUCUAGCAGCAGUGCAUAUAGAUUUACAUCGGUUAUAAUAAGAAUUGAUGUAAAAUUGUAUACAUUUACUACGUCACUCUCUUCUACAUCGAUUUUAGAACCGAUGUAGAUGAUGUUAAAGAACCGAUGUAGAUAAUGUGUCUUGUAGUAGUGGAUGAUCGUUGCAACACUUUCAGUUCAACUCACAAGUUUGUUUCAUUUGUCUUCAUCAUUUUUUUCUUGUGAUGGAAGAUAAUUGUUUCAUUUAAUGCAAGUAUUAAAUACAUUUUACCAAAUGAUA